rnacentral:rRNA from 1 species
GGGUUGUGAGGUUAAGCGACUAAGCGUACACGGUGGAUGCCCUGGCAGUCAGAGGCGAUGAAGGACGUGCUAAUCUGCGAUAAGCGCCGGUAAGGUGAUAUGAACCGUUAUAACCGGCGAUUUCCGAAUGGGGAAACCCAGUGUGACUCGUCACACUAUCAUUAACUGAAUCCAUAGGUUAAUGAGGCGAACCGGGGGAACUGAAACAUCUAAGUACCCCGAGGAAAAGAAAUCAACCGAGAUUCCCCCAGUAGCGGCGAGCGAACGGGGAGGAGCCCAGAGCCUGAAUCAGCAUGUGUGUUAGUGGAAGCGUCUGGAAAGGCGCGCGAUACAGGGUGACAGCCCCGUACACAAAAGCGCAUGUGCUGUGAGCUCGAUGAGUAGGGCGGGACACGUGGUAUCCUGUCUGAAUAUGGGGGGACCAUCCUCCAAGGCUAAAUACUCCUGACUGACCGAUAGUGAACCAGUACCGUGAGGGAAAGGCGAAAAGAACCCCGGCGAGGGGAGUGAAAAAGAACCUGAAACCGUGUACGUACAAGCAGUGGGAGCCCCACCACCAAAGCAUUCUCUGGUGUUGAAGGCCCUGCAAAGCAGCAUCGCGGUGGCGGAGCGUCGUUUGCGACGCCCAACACACAAAACAAGCGGUGAGUGCUUUGGGGUGGGGUGACUGCGUACCUUUUGUAUAAUGGGUCAGCGACUUAUAUUCUGUAGCAAGGUUAACCGAAUAGGGGAGCCGGAGGGAAACCGAGUCUUAAUUGGGCGUUAAGUUGCAGGGUAUAGACCCGAAACCCGGUGAUCUAGCCAUGGGCAGGUUGAAGGUUGGGUAACACUAACUGGAGGACCGAACCGACUAAUGUUGAAAAAUUAGCGGAUGACCUGUGGCUGGGGGUGAAAGGCCAAUCAAACCGGGAGAUAGCUGGUUCUCCCCGAAAGCUAUUUAGGUAGCGCCUCGUGAACUCAUCUCCGGGGGUAGAGCACUGUUUCGGCUAGGGGGCCAUCCCGGCUUACCAACCCGAUGCAAACUGCGAAUACCGG